rnacentral:rRNA from 2 species
CCGCGUGAGGGUGACGGCCUUCGGGUUGUAAACCUCUGUUAGCAUCGAAGAAGCGAAAGUGACGGUAGGUGCAGAGAAAGCGCCGGCUAACUACGUGCCAGCAGCCGCGGUAAUACGUAGGGCGCGAGCGUUGUCCGGAAUUAUUGGGCGUAAAGAGCUUGUAGGCGGUUGGUCGCGUCUGCUGUGAAAGGCUGGGGCUUAACCCUGGUUUUGCAGUGGGUACGGGCUAACUAGAGUGCAGUAGGGGAGACUGGAAUUCCUGGUGUAGCGGUGGAAUGCGCAGAUAUCAGGAGGAACACCGAUGGCGAAGGCAGGUCUCUGGGCUGUAACUGACGCUGAGAAGCGAAAGCAUGGGGAGCGAACAGGAUUAGAUACCCUGGUAGUCCAUGCCGUAAACGUUGGGCACUAGGUGUGGGGGACAUUCCACGUUUUCCGCGCCGUAGCUAACGCAUUAAGUGCCCCGCCUGGGGAGUACGGCCGCAAGGCUAAAACUCAAAGAAAUUGACGGGGGCCCGCACAAGCGGCGGAGCAUGCGGAUUAAUUCGAUGCAACGCGAAGAACCUUACCAAGGCUUGACAUAUACUGGACUGCGUCAGAGAUGGCGUUUCCCUUCGGGGCUGGUAUACAGGUGGUGCAUGGUUGUCGUCAGCUCGUGUCGUGAGAUGUUGGGUUAAGUCCCGCAACGAGCGCAACCCUCGUUCUAUGUUGCCAGCACGUGAUGGUGGGGACUCAUAGGAGACUGCCGGGGUCAACUCGGAGGAAGGUGGGGGAUGACGUCAAAUCAUCAUGCCCCUUAUGUCUUGCGCUUCACGCAUGCUACAAUGGCCGGUACAGAGGGUUGCGA